GCCGACUUAGCUCAGUAGGUAGAGCAACUGACUUGUAAUCAGUAGGUCAUCGGUUCGAUUCCGUUAGUCGGCUCCA
rnacentral:tRNA from 1 species